GAUGAUGCGUCGUGAUGGU
rnacentral:tRNA from 1 species